UGUUGCCAAUAAAAACUUAAUGAUGGAUGGAGAGUUUCAAAUUGCUGGGCCUGAACAAGAGCCACACACAGUUAGGCUUGAGAGUGUUGUCAAGUAGGCAGCUGAAGUUAUGGAUGAGGUGCCUACAGAUGAAAUUGAUUUGUCAUGGUUUUCUGGCAAUUUACGACGAGAUGACUAUUAUAAUGGUCGUGACCGUUGGAGUAUAUCCGAUGGCAACAACUUCAGAGACCGUAGCCAACAUUAUUUAUCUGACAAAAGCAAGGUCGUUUUAUGCUUUCUUUGA